GACGAAGGGGGCUAGCGUUGUUCGGAAUUACUGGGCGUAAAGCGCGUGUAGGCGGUUGCCCAAGUCGGGUGUGAAAGCCUUGAGCUCAACUCAAGAAAUGCACUCGGUACUGGGUGACUAGAGGACCGGAGAGGAUGGUGGAAUUCCCAGUGUAGUGGUGAAAUACGUAGAGAUUGGGAAGAACACCAGUGGCGAAGGCGGCUAUCUGGACGGUUUCUGACGCUAAGACGCGAAAGCGUGGGGAGCAAACAGG
rnacentral:rRNA from 1 species